rnacentral:rRNA from 1 species
UUAAACAUGAGAGUUUGAUCCUGGCUCAGGAUGAACGCUGGCGGCGUGCUUAACA